CAGUCCCAGUCACCGACUCGCGUGGAGUGGUAAGGCUGCACGCUUUUCCACAGACUUUAGCCAAACAAACAAGAGAAAUGGAUUCAUUCAUCACACCAACACUGUCUCCAGAAGAAUAUGAAGAGAGCUGUAAAGAACGGUUGUCUCGGACAUCCUCCUCUUUGAGAGGGUCAUCAUCUACCAGAUGACUAGGAAGCAUGUCCCUGGUCUCUCAAAGACUGAGAAGCAGCAAGUUUAUAGGCACUUAUCCCAGUUUCUUUGGAAUCCAGCUCGAGAACUCCAUGAAGUGGUACCACGGCAUGGUUGGAAACGGCCCCUGUAAGUGAUCGAUGGUUUAUGGAGGAUUUGACAAGUGAUGGAGGCCAGGUAGCCCAUUUUUGUUGCACACAGGUGUAGAAUACUUCAGAGAGCACCAUUUCAUGGGGUAUAAGUGGGAUUUUGAGAAUUUUCAGGACAGUAGAAUCUUGUGUUACAAAGGCGGCUCAAUAUAGCCUGUAUCCUCCUCAUCUGGCACAUAAUCCUUGUCCGAACCAGAGUCUGAGAGUGCUCCCAUGUCUUCUUCAGAUGAGGAAACCUCAAACUCACUGUCUAUCGCCAUAUGGCAAAAGGAUUUGGCGGCCGCGACAUUGUCUUGAUCUUGAUGUCACAGGUGGCUUGUGAUUCCUCCCCAGCUUGGGUAAUGUUGCCAAUGCUACAAAUGCACUCACGCAGUGUUGUCAUUGUCUGCAGCAGUCUCUGUAGCAAAAAUAAACCCGCUACAUCGACUGUAACAGUGUUUAGCAAGCCCGACGUGUAUAUGCGUCGCUAGUAUUUCCUGCAACCA